GAUGAACGCUGGCGGCGUGCCUAACACAUGCAAGUCGAGCGAACAGACGAGGAGCUUGCUCCACUGACGUUAGCGGCGGACGGGCGAGUAACACGUGGAUAACCUACCUAUAAGACUGGGAUAAAUUCGGGAAACCGGAGCUAAUACCGGAUAAUAUAUUGAACCGCAUGUUUCAAUAGAGAAAGACGGGUUUGCUGUCACUUAUAGAUGGAUCUGCGCCGCAUUAGCUAGUUGGUAAGGUAAAGGCCUACCAAGGCAACGAUGCGUAGCCGGCCUGAGAGGGCGGUCAGCCCACACUGGACUGGAGCACGGGCCCGACUCCCACGGGGAGGAGCAGUGGGGGAUCUUUCGGAAAGGGCGGAAGUCCUGCGGGGGCAAGCCGGGGGAAGGAAGAAGGGUUUCGGGUUGUUAAAACCUGGUUAUUAGGAAAAAACAAAUGUGAAAGUAACGAUGCACGUCUUGACGGUACCAAAUAAGAAAGCCACGGCUAACUCCGUG
rnacentral:rRNA from 1 species